GACAGUGUGGUGUAGUGGUUUGAGUGUUAGACUGUGACUCUGGAGAACAGGGUUUGAUUCCCAUCUCAGCCA